rnacentral:lncRNA from 10 species
UUCCAAAGUAGAGUAAAAUUUCAGACUCUUCUCAGUUCUUGACGGUGUUUGGUGAUGAAGAUUGGGAUGCUAAUAGAAAUAAUGGCUUUCUGGAAGAGAGAAGACAAGGGCUCCCAUGGGCUGGGUGAAAGGAUAUGAGAACUCCCUGGGAUCUGGUAGCAAAUGUUCUUGCUCAAGUGGUGGGCAAGGGGGAAGGAAAAUUUGGCAAAUCUAAUGUAUUUGCCUUAUAAUCUCCUUUUUUUUUUUUUUUUUUUUUUGAGACAGGGUUUCCCUCUCAUGCCUCAGGAUGGAAUGCAAUGGCGUGAUCUUGGCUCACUGCAACCUCAGCCUCCCAGGUUCAAGCGAUUCUCCAGCCUCAGCCUCCCGAGUAGCUGGGAUUACAGGCAUGCGCCAUCAUGCCUGAAUAAUUUUUGUAUUUUUAGUAGUGACAGAGUUUCACCAUGUUGGCCAGGCAGGUCUUGAACUCCUGACCUCAAGUGAUCCUCCCACCCUGGCCUCCCAAACUGCUAGGAUUACAGGCAUGAGCCACCACUUCCAGCCUAAGCUCCACCUCUUAAUGGGUUCUGUUUCUUUCUAAAGAGCAAAAAAUACACGAAUACUCAAUAUUAUCAUCAUUUCUUUUUUUCUACAAUUUCUUUUAAAUAAAACCCAUUCUUCAAAAUUAUUGCUACAAAAUAACCAGAGAAACUUCAGCAACGUCAGCUCCACAUAUCUCCAUAAUGUCCCCCGUUCCUUGUCCUCUUCAAUAGACUAAUAUUACUUUGAACAGGAAAAAAAAACAACAUAUGACAAAACCAAAACCUCUUCCUUUCUUCAAACAACUCAAUGUUCAUCAUUCUUCUACUAUGAAUGUUCAUACAUCUUCUACUAUGAAAUAGUACCCUGGGCUCAUGAGAGACUCCACUAUGGUCAAGGAAUGGAAUCCAGAUUAUCUGACUGAAUCUUCCACCCAUAUAGAUGUCACUAAAUAUGUGUGUGAACUCAAAGCAAAUAACAGAGAAACACAAUAUAAAAAUGGCUUUAAUAUACCAACGUACAGAUUAUUCAGUUCCAUUGUAAUUUCCCAAAUAAUUUUAGAUUAUAAUUUUCAGAAAGGAUUUUUAACAUCUGCUAGGCUAAUUCCAUCAUAUUAGUAUAUGAAAUUAUCUUUUCUCCAGUUAUUUAUAAUCUUUCUAAAUAUUUUAAAAUACAGUAUAUUUUCACAACAAAUUUUAUUUUCCCCACAACAAAGAAUUAUCCCACUUCUCUAGUAAUUUCCAUCGUGCAAGAAUGUAGAAUAUAGACUAAUAAGCCUAAAUAGGAUCUAAAAAGGCAAGUUACCUAAAACCCUUCUUGUCUAACCAUAUUAAGGCCCAAGUUUACCUAGAGUCACAAUUGUAGUUAACAAGUGCUAUUUCUCUGGUUGUUUUUUGUUGUUGUUGUUGUUGUUUUUGUUUUUUUUUUUUGAGAUGGAGUCUCACUCUGUCACCCAGGCAGGAGUGCAGUGGCGCGAUCUCAGCUCACUGCAAGCUCCGCCUCCUGGGUUCAUGCCAUUCUCUUGCCUCAGCCUCCCGAGUAGCUGGGAGUACAGGCACCCGCCACCACGCCUGGCUAAUUUUUUGUAUUUUUAGUAGAGACAGGGUUUCACCAUGUUAGCCAGGAUGGUCUCGAUCUCCUGACCUCGUGAUCCGCCAGCCGUGGCCUCCCAAAGUGCUGGGACUACACGUGUGAGCCACCAUGCCCGGCCUUGUUUUUGUUUUUGCCAAGUUUCACCAUGUUGCCCAGGAUAUCCUCAAACUCCUGGGCUCAAGUGAUUCUCCAGCCUCAGCCUCCUGAGUAGCUGGGAAUAGAAGAGCAUGCCACUGUGUCUGGCUUCUCUGUGACUUUCUUAAUGUGCAGAAACCAAAACAGGUAAUAGUAUUUAAUAAGAAUGUCCUGGUAAUUUUUUUUAAAUCUAAAAGUAGACAAAAAGGGAAGGGAAAAAUUCAUAUGCAGAUGAAAAAUAUUCUAUUACUGUGGAUCCUUGAUUUUUUGUAUAGAUCUUAACAAUGAUUUAUGAGGUUCUCAAUGACAAUUUAAUAAAACUGCAAAAUUCAUUAAGAGCAUCACAGAAGGCCAGGCACAGUGGCUCACAUCAGAGAAAUAAGAUUAUGAAUUUACUGAGGCAUACAAAUUGGAAUCUACAUUUACCAUCUUGUACAAAUAGGAAAGUUUCUAAUAACUUAUUAACAAAAUCAUUCUGAAACCUUUACACAAAUCAGCCUGCUUUAAAUAAAAAGGUUAGAAACAUUAUGAUAACUAUGUACAAAGUAUAUAUCUGUAUACUCUAACAUUCUAAAUAAAGGUAUCUUUGAAAAUUUACUAUUAUACAGUAUUAGUACCAUACUCUAUAAUGAGCAAAGAAAGAAUAUGAGAACUCUUGGGCUCAGUACAGUGUAAAUAUGUUCAAAAUGCUAUACACAUUUUGCCUGGAAAGAUUUAAAAAAUCCCACAUAAUCACAUAAACCACUGGACUGACUUUUAAAAACUUUAAAAAAGAUAUUUAAAGAUAUGGCUCAUUAAGCAAACAUUUAGUGAUCAUAUCUCACUGCAGCCUCGAACUCCUGGGCUCAAGUGAUCCUCCUGCCUCAAUUGGCAAAUGGGCAAAAGAUAUGAACAGAUAUUUCACUGAAAAGGAUAAACAGAAUGGUUGAAAUAAGAAAUAGUGACAACACCAAAUGCUGGCGAGCAUGCAGAGAAACUGGAUCACUCAUACAUUCCUGGUGGGAAUGUAAGAUGGUAUAGCCAGUCUGGAAAACAGUUUGGCUGUUUCUUAUAAAGAUAAGAUUCAUUUAAAUGGGAGUCUCUAUAUCAUUUGUUUCCUAAACAUCACGGGUAUCUAUCUAAACACAGCCAUUUUAUAACAGAUCAAAUUUAUAGUAAAGUGGGGAAAGACAGUAGAAAUAGAAUAACAGAGAAUUUCAGAAAUAUCUGAUUUUGCAAGCACCUGUUUCUGUCCUUCCCACUCCAAGAUCAUUCCUGCAUUCCUCUAGGAACAAGGGUCCCAUGGGAAUAUGAUACAGCCAAUGACUUAGGUGCCAAUAGAUGCUGGUGCCAAAAUAUUUAUGGCUAUGAGGCUUCAAAACUUAAAAAAAAAAAAAAGAUUCCUUUUACUUGGAAAGGGGAUUUAAAAAGAAAAAACCACCAACACGAUUUUGAAUCAUCUAUUUAACUUUUUUAGAUUACCCAUUUUGACUGGUUCGAACCAGAAGACCUGGCUUUGGGUUUACAAUAAGACGAUUCUGGGACCAAGUAGGUUGUAAAGGCCCAAGGUAUGUUUGGGGCUUUCUCUCUCUCUCUCUCUCUCUCUCUUUUUUUUUUUUGAGACAGAGUCUCGCUCUCUCACCCAGGCUGGAAUGCAGUGGCCCAAUCUCGGCUCACUGCAACCUCCACGUCCCGGGUUCAAGCAAUUCUCCUGUCUCAGCCUCCCAAGUCGCUGGGACCACAGGCACAUGCCAUCAGGACUGGCUAAUUUUUGUAUUUUUAGUAGAGAUGGGGUUUCACCAUAUUGAUCAGGCUGGUCUUGAACUCCUGACCUCAGGUGAUCCACCCGCCUUGGCCUCCCAAAGUGCUGGGAUUACAGGCGUGAGCCACUACACCUGGCCUUUUUCUCUCUUUUUUUAAAUUGAGAUGGGUGGGGUCUCACUAUGUUGCCUAGGCUGGUCUCGAACUCCUGAGCUCAAGCGAUCCUCCCGCCUUGGCCUCACAAAUUGCUGGGAUUACAGGUGUGAACCACCACGCUUAUCCUGGGGCUUUUAAUUCUUACUGAAAAUCAUAGUCUAAAUUUCCCAAAGGGAUUCAGAAUCCUUUGGGGUACAUUCAAGUCUUCUAGGCCAUCUCUGGGAUGACUCUAGAAUAACUUAAAGUCAAAGAACUCCAGGGUAUAUCUACAUCUCUCCUCAAAUAAUUACAAAAUUCUUGCAAGAUUCCUGGGCUGGACUGUUUUAAAUUAAAGACUGGUCCCUUACAGGAGGGGCUAUUUAUGAAGUUCCUUCCCUAUAGCACCAGAGUGUUUCGCACUCUUAAAAUUCAAUCUGUUAGUCAUCUGCAGUCAAAUAUAUAAAACCUGUGAAGAGAAAGGCUUCAAUUAAAGCUUAAAAAGUUAAUAUAUCUAUGUGUAUUUACAGACAUGUGUCUCUACACAAAUAGUUUUUCAAAUAUAUAAACAUAUUAAGAAUUUUAUUUUAUUUUAUUAAGACAGGGCCUUGCCCUGUUGCCCAGGCUGGAGUGCAGUGGCACAAUCAUAGCUCAUAGCACCCUCAAACUCCUGUGUUCAAGCGAUUCUCCUGCUUCGGUUUCCUGAGUAGCUGGGACUACAGGGGCAUACCACCACACCUGGCUAAUUUAAAAAAAAUUUUUUUGUAGAGACAAGGUCUCACUUUGCUGCCCAAGCUGUAACUGAACUCCUGGCUUCAAGUGAUCCUCUGGCCUCAGCCUCCCAAAGUGCUGGGAUUACAGGCAUGAGCCACUGUACUUGGCCAAAAAUUUUAAAUAAACAACAUGAGGAUUCUAGCUCUCACUACAGAGUAGUUCUUCUUUUGUUUUUUUGUUUUUGUUUUUGUUUUUGUUUUUUUGAAAUGGAGUUUAACUCUUGUUGCCCAGGCUGGAGUGCAAUGGCGCGAUCUCGGCUCAACCGCAACCUCUGCCUCAGGGGUUCAAGCGGUUCUCCUGCCUCAGCCUCCUGACUAGCUGGGAUUACAGGCAUGUGCCACAACGCACAGCUAAUUUUUUUGUAGUUUUAAUAGAGAUGGGGUUUCUCCAUGUUGGUCAGGCUGGUCUCAAGCUACUAACCUCAGGUAAUCCGUCCUCCUUGGCCUCCCAAAGUGCUGGGAAGAGUAUAGUUCUUCUUAAUCCAACAAAAAAGUAUUUUACUCACAACAAAUAUAAAUUGCCCCCAUCAACAAAUGUAUGUAAUAUCAAGGAUAACGUGUACAAACAAAGUUGCACUAACAAAGUAAAAAUUUAUCCCACAUACAUGAAAGCACAGUGCUAAGUUCUGGGGAAGCAGACAGUUUCUGCUUUCAGGGAGCUUCCAGUCUGGUAGAGAUUUACACAGAAGGCAGAUUAAAGAGAAUGAUGAUCUCCUUUGUUCAGAGAUAAAAAGGAAGCAAAAAAGCAGGUCAAAUCAAAGAUGAUCUGCAGAAUACAUUAACCCUACACUGAAAUCAUGGACCUACUCCAGUAAUUAAGGCUGCAGAGCUGGGACUAUAUGUGUGUGUCACCACACCCAGCUAAUUUGUGUAUUUUUUGUAGAGAUAGGGAUUCGCCAGGUUGCCCAGGCUGGUCUCAAACUCCUGAGCUGAAGUGAUCCGCCUGCCUUGGCCUCCCAAAGUGCUAGGAUUACAGGUGUGAGCCACUGUGCCCAGCUGAGAUUUAUUUUUUCUUUAUUAAUCAGCAAAAUAGAUACCCUAUUUAUUUCAAGAUACGAUUAACUAAUUUUUUUGCUAACAACCAUUUCCUAAGGUAAAAUGAGGCAGAAAGAAAAGGAGUAUGACACUAUAUUCACUGAGUCUUCGAUUUUCUUCUAACAGCCUGUAUCAGUGGCUCUCAACUGGGGGCAAUUUUGCCUCUCAGAAUGGCAAUGUUUGAAGACAUUUUUGGCCAUAACAACUAGGGGGAUGGUACUUGUAGCUAGAGGGCAGAGGUCAGGGAUAUUGCUAAACAUCCUAUAAAGUACAGCAUAGCAUCCCAAAAUAAAGAUUUAUCCAGUCCAAAAUGUCAAUGCUGAGAUUAGGAAACCAUGCCAUGGUUGGAUAAAAAAGAUGAAAAAAUCAGUAUGUCUAUAGUAUAAAAGCAAUUAGUAGCACUUUAAGAUAGAUUGAACAGGAACAUUCUCUUCCUUUAUCAGACAGUUGCAGACCUUCUAAAAAUAUCUGAUAGAUCUAUAAUGGGAAAAUAAAACAUGCUGAGAAGUAGCACAAAUUUUUCUAAACUUCAAAUAUUAGCAUACAAAUGAAAAACAAACUUGGAAGACAGAAAGGACAAGCCAGGCAUGGUGGCUCACGCCUGUAAUCCUAGCACUUUGGGAGGCCGAGGUGGGUGGGUCACAAGGUCAGGAGUUUGAGACCAGCCUGGCCAACAUGGUAAAACCCUGUCUCUACUAAAAAUACAAAAAUCAGCUGGGCGUAGUGACGUAUACCUGAAAUCCCAGCUACUUGGGAGGCUGAGGC